GGAAACGUCAAACAGCAUAUUUUGAAUAUUUUUUAUCGAUUCCACAUCAGCCUGCAGAAUCAGCAGAACAGAAUCCAAACUACUCGGCUAGUAUGUUCAAUCUGACGACGGAACGUCGUGAUUUUCGAUGGAGUUAACAGAAGAACGGCCUGCUGAAGAGCUUCCACGAUGUAGAAUGAGGAGCUAGAUGUUGGAGCAAGUGGUUUCCGUUGCGGUGACUUAUGCAGGGUUCGUCGGUACGGUGUGAGGUCCCAUACAGGACACCAUCCAAGAGGAAACGUAUGGCCAAAUGCAGCAACCAGA